UAGGGCCCACGGAGUGGGAUUCCCACUCCCUUCCCAUUUAGAUGAAGUAAACGCUGGAGUGGGAGGAAUCCACACUCCUCACUCCCACUCCAGCAAGUAAACACAACAUAAAUAACGGGUCAGAAAUUGAGAGGUUUGUGUCCAAAUAAUGGGAAAAGGACAUUCAACCCCUCAACAUUUAAGAAAAGGGAUAAAAAACCCCUCAACAUUUUAAAAAGGACUUAUAAAUCCCUUUUCGUUAAUAAACUUUAUUAUUUUCUGCAGGAAUGGGCACACCGGAAGAAUUUUAUUAGCAACGGUCUUAAUUGUACGCAACCUCCGCAAGGUUCGAAAGGAAGUGUAAAAUGACAACGCAGAUAUUUAUGCCCUUGCUGAUCUGUGAGCAGAUAUGGAAGAAAUGAAUUGUCCUCAUAUGUAAUUUGCUCGGUGGACGUGGUUUAACAUAUCCACAUAUAAAGAUAUAUGCGCUCGAUCGUUGACAGUUAAUUUACAAAUAUUUUUAAGCAAUUAAUUAAAA
rnacentral:lncRNA from 1 species